rnacentral:rRNA from 1 species
GGCCGCGUUGGAUUAACUAGUUGGUGGGGUAAAGGCCUACCAAGGCGACGAUCCAUAUCUGGUCUGAGAGGAUGAUCAGCCACAUUGGGACUGAAACACGGCCCAAACUCCUACGGGAGGCAGCAGUGGGGAAUAUUGGACAAUGGGCGCAAGCCUGAUCCAGCCAUGCCGCGUGAGUGAUGAAGGCCUUAGGGUUGUAAAGCUCUUUCACCGGAGAAGAUAAUGACGGUAUCCGGAGAAGAAGCCCCGGCUAACUUCGUGCCAGCAGCCGCGGUAAUACGAAGGGGGCUAGCGUUGUUCGGAAUUACUGGGCGUAAAGCGCACGUAGGCGGAUAUUUAAGUCAGGGGUGAAAUCCCAGAGCUCAACUCUGGAACUGCCUUUGAUACUGGGUAUCUUGAGUAUGGAAGAGGUAAGUGGAAUUCCGAGUGUAGAGGUGAAAUUCGUAGAUAUUCGGAGGAACACCAGUGGCGAAGGCGGCUUACUGGUCCAUUACUGACGCUGAGGUGCGAAAGCGUGAGGAGCAAACAGGAUUAGAUACCCUGGUAGUCCACGCCGUAUACGAUGAAUGUUAGCCGUCGGGCAGUAUACUGUUCGGUGACGCAACUAACGCAUUAAACAUUCCGCCUGGGGAGUACGGUCGCAGAUUAAACUCAAAGGAAUUUGACGGGGGCCCGCA